UACGGAGGGGGCUAGCGUUGUUCGGAAUUACUGGGCGUAAAGCGCACGUAGGCGGCUUUGCAAGUUAGAGGUGAAAGCCCGGGGCUCAACUCCGGAAUUGCCUUUAAAACUGCAUCGCUAGAAUUGUGGAGAGGUAAGUGGAAUUCCGAGUGUAGAGGUGAAAUUCGUAGAUAUUCGGAAGAACACCAGUGGCGAAGGCGACAUCCUGGACCGGUAUUGACGCUGAGGCGCGAAAGCCAGGGGAGCAAACGGG
rnacentral:rRNA from 1 species